rnacentral:rRNA from 1 species
UACGUAGGGUGCAAGCGUUAAUCGGAAUUACUGGGCGUAAAGGGCUCGUAGGCGGCCAACUAAGUCAGACGUGAAAUCCCUCGGCUUAACCGGGGAACUGCGUCUGAUACUGGAUGGCUUGAGUUUGGGAGAGGGAUGCGGAAUUCCAGGUGUAGCGGUGAAAUGCGUAGAUAUCAGGAGGAACACCAAUUGCGAAGGCAGCUCGCUGGGACGUUACUGACGCUGAGACGCGAAAGCGUGGGGAGCAAACAGG